rnacentral:tRNA from 1 species
GCGCCCGUAGCUCAGCUGGAUAGAGCGCUGCCCUCCGGAGGCAGAGGUCAGGGGUUCGAAUCCCUUCGGGCGUGCCA